rnacentral:lncRNA from 1 species
GUUUAAAGUAUUCUGUGAGAUUUGCAUGGGGCCACUCAAGGAACACCACUAUUAGGAGGACUUUCGGAAUCUGCCCUCAGGUUUCUCAGGGUGUUCUUGUUAGGGGAACUGGCUGGGAGCAUAGGCUUUAGGUCCAGGUGCCUGGCUCUGAUGACUGUGGCUUAUGUGCAGAGCAGCUCCACAGCAGGGUUUCUGUGCUGGUAAGGAGCCAGCCCAGUGUGGAGUUAAAAAUGGGACAGCCCAAAACUGAAGGACUUCAGAGCCUCUCCAGUUCCCCAUGGGUCACAGGUCAGCCUGGAGCAGCUCCCAUUGUGGGGCAGGGUUCCAUAGCCAGCAUUUGCCAUAAAGUGGUGCCAUUGUUAAGAAGCCUAUUCCAGCCUGCCACAGUCAACAUGCCAUUGGCUCAUUGCUCCUUUACAAGUCAGUCAAACCACACAUCUAAUUUUAUUUUAGCAAGGAAUAGAUUGUAAAGAACACUGACUUCACUGAUAUAUUUUGUUUUUAUCACAAACUUUGAUUUAAUUGGAUUUUAAAUCAUUUUAAGAUUUACCUUCAGUAUUAAUGCUUUAAUGCCAGGAUCCAAAACAAGUUCUGUGGUUACUAACCAACAUGGCUUUCUGUAGGUUUGCUGUAUAGAAUAUUAAAAAACCCUGGUUACAGUGGCUCCUUGACAAUCAGAACUCUAGGUGACCUUCCAUUACUGCUGUUUGACUGGAGGUGGGGGUAGAGUGCGUGUUUGUGAACAGAGGCCUGGCAGGGCCUCUUCACUACAUCUUGACAGAAACAGACUUGGACCAUCUCACCUGCUACUUAGGUAUUUUGUUCUGAUACAGUCAAUCCAGUUGCCAAACUAAAAAUUACAUGUAGAAGAAAACGGAGCCUCACUGAGCCAGAGUGGCUUCAAGCAUAGCUUCUCAGAGCCAGCUUAGGCCUCUGUGUAUCCACAGAGUGUGGCCUCCUGCAGAUAAAGUGUCCCCCAACUCAUUUCAAGAUUUUAUGGUUUGGUGUAAGGCAUUUCCCUACAAAGUUGUGGUCAGGUGUUCACUACAAUUGAAAUGCUAAUUUGUAGAAAUAUUUAUUCCUUUGUGUGACAAGCUAGAGUCCUUGGCUGUAGCUAACCAUUUUUUAUUGUGUAAAUACUGCUUGAUUUUACAUGAACUGUAUCAUAAUAAACUAUUUUUGCAUUGCU